rnacentral:rRNA from 1 species
GGUUUGAUCAUGGCUCAGAUUGAACGCUGGCGGCAGGCCUAACACAUGCAAGUCGAGCGGAUGACGGGAGCUUGCUCCUUGAUUCAGCGGCGGACGGGUGAGUAAUGCAUCGGAACGUAUCCUGGAGUGGGGGAUAACGUAGCGAAAGUUACGCUAAUACCGCAUAUUCUGUGAGCAGGAAAGCGGGGGACCUUCGGGCCUCGCGCUCUUGGAGCGGCCGAUGUCGGAUUAGCUAGUUGGUGAGGUAAAGGCUCACCAAGGCGACGAUCCGUAGCAGGUCUGAGAGGAUGAUCUGCCACACUGGAACUGAGACACGGUCCAGACUCCUACGGGAGGCAGCAGUGGGGAAUUUUGGACAAUGGGGGCAACCCUGAUCCAGCCAUGCCGCGUGAGUGAAGAAGGCC